AGUUCGGACUGUAGUCUGCAACCCGACUACACGAAGCUGGAAUCGCUAGUAAUCGCGGAUCAGAAUGCCGCGGUGAAUACGUUCCCGGGUCUUGUACACACCGCCCGUCACACCAUGGGAGUCAGUAACGCCCGAAGUCAGUGACCUAACCGAAAGGGAGGAGCUGCCGAAGGCGGGACGGAUGACUGGGGUGAAGUCGUAACAAGGUACC
rnacentral:rRNA from 1 species